UACAUUUUAGUGUACGAUGCACAAAAGAUUUUGAUUCUUUGAGAUAUAGUUUAAUUCUAUUAAAUGUAU
rnacentral:tRNA from 1 species